UACGGAGGAUGCGAGCGUUAUCCGGAUUUAUUGGGUUUAAAGGGUGCGCAGGCGGGCUGUUAAGCCGGCGGUAAAAAUUCAGGGCUCAACCCUGUCGAGCCGUCGGAACUGGCAGUCUUGAGUGGGCGAGAAGUAUGCGGAAUGCGUGGUGUAGCGGUGAAAUGCAUAGAUAUCACGCAGAACGCCGAUUGCGAAGGCAGCAUACCGGCGCCCAACUGACGCUGAGGCACGAAAGCGUGGGGAUCGAACAGG
rnacentral:rRNA from 1 species